GCUCCCUGUCUUUCUAUGAUCAAC
rnacentral:piRNA from 1 species